AUUGAACGCUGGCGGCAGGCCUAACACAUGCAAGUCGAACGAGUGGCGGACGGGUGAGUAAUGUCUGGGAAACUGCCUGAUGGCUGGGGAUAACUACUGGAAACGGUAGCUAAUACCGCAUACCAUCGGAUGUGCCCAGAUGGGAUUAGCUAGUAGGUGGGGUAAAGGCUCACCUAGGCGACGAUCCCUAGCUGGUCUGAGAGGAUGACCAGCCAGACUGGAACUGAGACACGGGCCAGACUCCUACGGGAGGCAGCAGUGGGGCAUAUUGCACAAUGGGAGAAAGCCUGAUGCAGCCAUGCCGCGUGGAUGAAGAAGGCCUUCGGGUUGUAAAGUACUUUAAGCGGGGAGGCGUUACCCGCAGAAGAAGCACCGGCUAACUCCGUGCCAGCAGCCGCGGUAAUUC
rnacentral:rRNA from 1 species